GCAACUAUGGUGCAGCGGUCAGCACGGCGUAGCCAAAUUUGUACAAGGGCUCUCCAGAAUUCCUACGCAGACUCGGGUUCAACUCCCGAUAGUUGCG